rnacentral:rRNA from 1 species
GAUGAACGCUGGCGGCGUGCCUAAUACAUGCAAGUCGAGCGAACGGACGAGAAGCUUGCUUCUCUGAUGUUAGCGGCGGACGGGUGAGUAACACGUGGAUAACCUACCUAUAAGACUGGGAUAACUUCGGGAAACCGGAGCUAAUACCGGAUAAUAUUUUGAACCGCAUGGUUCAAAAGUGAAAGACGGUCUUGCUGUCACUUAUAGAUGGAUCCGCGCUGCAUUAGCUAGUUGGUAAGGUAACGGCUUACCAAGGCAACGAUGCAUAGCCUCCCUGAGAGGGUGAUCGGCCACCCUGGAACUGAGCCACGGUCCAGACUCCUACGGGAGGCAGCAGUAGGGAAUCUUCCGCAAUGGGCGAAAGCCUGACGGAGCAACGCCGCGUGAGUGAUGAAGGUCUUCGGAUCGUAAAACUCUGUUAUUAGGGAAGAACAUAUGUGUAAGUAACUGUGCACAUCUUGACGGUACCUAAUCAGAAAGCCACGGCUAACUACGUG